UACGAAGGGGGCUAGCGUUGCUCGGAAUCACUGGGCGUAAAGGGUGCGUAGGCGGGUUCUUAAGUCAGAGGUGAAAUCCUGGAGCUCAACUCCAGAACUGCCUUUGAUACUGAGAGUCUUGAGUCCGGGAGAGGUGAGUGGAACUGCGAGUGUAGAGGUGAAAUUCGUAGAUAUUCGCAAGAACACCAGUGGCGAAGGCGGCUCACUGGCCCGGUACUGACGCUGGGGUGCGAAAGCGUGGGGAGCAAACAGG
rnacentral:rRNA from 1 species